CUGGUUGAUCCUGCCGGAGCCCUGCUAUUGGGAUCGACUAAGCCAUGCGUCUCAAGGUGUCUUCGGACGCCGGCAUACGGCUCAGUAACACGUAGGUGACCUACCCUCAGGACUGAGAUAACCCCGGGAAACUGGGGCUAAUAUUAGAUAGAUAAAAGAUACUGGAAUGUUCUUUUAUCCAAAGCUUUUGCGCCUGAGGAUGGGCCUGCGUCCGAUUAGGUUGUUGGUGGGGUAAUGGCCCACCAAGCCUGCGAUCGGUACGGGCAGUGAGAGCUGAAGCCCGGAGUUGGGGACUGAGACAAGGCCCCAGGCCCUACGGGGCGCA
rnacentral:rRNA from 1 species